rnacentral:rRNA from 1 species
GAAACUCGCCUACAUGAAGCUGGAGUUACUAGUAAUCGCAGAUCAGAAUGCUGCGGUGAAUGCGUUCCCGGGUCUUGUACACACCGCCCGUCACACCACGGGAGUUGGAGACGCCCGAAGCCGAUUAUCUAACCUUUUGGAAGAAGUCGUCGAAGGUGGAAUCAAUAACUGGGGUGAAGUCGUAACAAGGUAGCCGUAUCGGAAGGUGCGGCUGGAUC